UCGAGAAUCUUCCGCAAUGGACGAAAGUCUGACGGAGCGACGCCGCGUGAUUGAUGAAGCAUUUCGGUGUGUAAAGAUCUUUUAUGAGGGAAGAAGUUUAUUGACGGUACCUCAUGAAUAAGGGGCUCCUAAUCUCGUGCCAGCAGGAGCGGUAAUACGAGAGCCCCGAGCGUUAUCCGGAAUUAUUGGGCGUAAAGGGUGCGUAGGUGGUUUUGUUAGUCGUUUGUCAAAUCCUUGAGCUUAACUCAAGAACCGCGAACGAAACGGCAUUACUAGAGAGUGUAAGGGGUAUAGGGAACUCAUGGUGUAGGGGUGAAAUCCGUUGAUAUCAUGGGGAACACCAAAAGCGAAGGCACUAUACUAAUACAUAUCUGACACUGAAGCACGAAAGCGUGGGUAGCGAAUG
rnacentral:rRNA from 1 species